UUUUUUUUUUUUCCUUUCUCUGUUCUCACCUUUCCCCCUAACUUGCAGUCAUUCCAGACACAUUAACUGACAUGGUCAAUCAGAUGACGGAGAGAGUGGGGCUGGUCCACGGGCUUCCAUACGUAGCUGACAGACAAGGCUUUGCUGCCACCUUAGAGCAGGUAUAUUUUGGAACUUCACACCCAAGAUCCUAUAUCUCUGCCAAUGUGACCGGCUUCAAGUGUGUGACGGGGAUGUCUUGCUUGAUGAGGAAGGAUGUGCU
rnacentral:lncRNA from 1 species